UGCAUCAAUGUUUAAAUAAUUGAUGCAAUAUCGACUCUGUUGAAUAAAAUUCUAGGUAGAAUUAUGAUAAUGACAUUGUCUACCUAUGUGUCUUGACCAAAUUACGUGCCAGCAGUCGCGGUAAUACGUAGAAGACUAGUGUUAUUCAUCUUUAAUAGGUUUAAAGGGUACCUAGACGGUAAAUCAAGCCUGCAAUAUGGGACUAAUGUACUAGAGUUACUUACGAGGGGGUAUUAAAGUACUGCUGGUGUAGAGAUGAAAUUCUGUCAUACCUCGUUUCGGAAGAAACACUAUGGCACAGGUAUAGGCGAAAGCAUCCCCUUAUGUGAUAACUGACGUUGAAGGACGAAGGCUUUGUGUAGCGAACAGGAUUAGAUACCCCAGUAGUCAAAGCAGAAAAUGAUGAAUGUCAUAGAUUAGAUGUAUAGUUUAUUCUAUAAAUGAAAGUGUAAGCAUUCCACCUCAAGAGUAAUUUGGCAACAUUGGAACUGAAAUCAUUAGACCGUUUCUGAAACCAGUAGUGAAGUAUGUUGUUUAAUUUGAUGGUCCGCAAAAAACCUUACCACAAUUUGAAUAUUUAGAUUUUUAUUUUCUCUUCCUAAUAUUUGGAUAUAAGUUCGAGUCUUAGAUAAGAACUUAUUAGCUCAAAGAUAUAGUAGAAUAUUUAAGAAAAGAAAAUAAAUCCAUUUACAAGCGUUGCACGGCUGUCUUCAGUUAAUGUCGUGAGAUCAUGGUUAGUUCCAUUAAUUAACGUAAACCCUUACUUUAUU
rnacentral:rRNA from 1 species